rnacentral:rRNA from 1 species
UACGUAGGUGGCAAGCGUUGUCCGGAUUUAUUGGGCGUAAAGCGCUCGCAGGUGGUCCGAUACGUCGUGCGUGAAAGCCCCCGGCUCAACUGGGGAGUGUCGUGCGAUACGGUCGGACUGGAGGCCAGUAGGGGGAUGCGGAAUUCCGGGUGUAGUGGUGGAAUGCGUAGAGAUCCGGAGGAACACCAGCGGCGAAGGCGGCAUCCUGGACUGGUCCUGACACUCAUGAGCGAAAGCGUGGGGAGCGAUCCGG